GUUGGAUGAUUUUUUUUUUUUCUUAUUUUCCUCCCCUAAAACCUAGGUGAGUCUUAUGGGCAGUUGAUUUCUGCUGGUAGCUUACUCUUAGUAAACCCAUCUCCAGAUGAUGCACAUCAUGCAUUGUGACAAUCUUUAAAAGGGAGAUGCAUGCAAAAUUAGGGGUGUUAGAAACACAAUAAUCUACAAUGUGAUCUACAUCAUGUAAUGUGACUGGAUGUGAGGACAAUGUCAUGCGAGAGGAUAGGAUUGCAAUUCUUGAGUAUUUGAGGAUGUAAAGCAAUUCUGUAUAAUGGACCAUCCAUUCAUAGUGUACAUGGGAGAAUAUUCCCAAUAGCUGAGAAUAGACCAUAGCUGUUGAAAGAAUCAGUAGGAGGCAAAGGAUUUGGACACAGUCAUACACAUAAAGAUUCUUUAUGUGGAGAUAAUCAGUCUACAUAUAUGAGCAUGCUGACAACCGAAUGGAUACACAUAUGUU